rnacentral:rRNA from 1 species
UACAGAGGGGGCAAGCGUUGUUCGGAAUUACUGGGCGUAAAGGGCGCGUAGGCGGCCUGCUAAGUCGAACGUGGAAUCCCCGGGCUCAACCCGGGAACUGCGUCCGAUACUGGAAGGCUUGAAUUCGGGAGAGGGAUGCGGAAUCCCAGGUGUAGCGGUGAAAUGCGUAGAUAUCUGGAGGAACACCGGUGGCGAAGGCGGCAUCCUGGACCGGCAUUGACGCUGAGGCGCGAAAGCCAGGGGAGCAAACGGG